rnacentral:sRNA from 1 species
AUGUACCAGGCGUCCACUGCGGUUGUGAGCGCGCCGUCCGCGCCCACCUGACAGCUGCUCG